GACGAACGCUGGCGGCGUGCUUAACACAUGCAAGUCGAACGGAGAAUUUUAUUUCGGUAGAAUUCUUAGUGGCGAACGGGUGAGUAACGCGUAGACAACCUGCCUCUUAGAUGGGGACAACAUCGCGAAAGCGGUGCUAAUACCGAAUGAAGUGGAGCUUCCGCAUGGAAGCAUCACCAAAGGUGGCCUCUAUUUAUAAGCUACCACUGAGAGAUGGGUCUGCGUCUGAUUAGCUAGUUGGCGGGGUAAUGGCCCACCAAGGCGACGAUCAGUAGCCGGUCUGAGAGGAUGAACGGCCACAUUGGGACAGAGACACGGCCCAAACUCCUACGGGAGGCAGCAGGGGGGAAUCUUCCGCAAUGGACGAAAGUCUGACGGAGCAACGCCGCGUGAGUGAAGAAGGUUUUCGGAUCGUAAAGCUCUGUUGUUUGAGACGAAUGUGCAGACUUUGAAUAAGGGUUUGUAAUGACGGUAUUAAACGAGAAAGCCACGGCUAACUACGUGCCAGCAGCCGCAGUAA
rnacentral:rRNA from 1 species